rnacentral:lncRNA from 1 species
GUAAGGCAAGGGUGUAUCUAAGGUGCUUAGUAAAAUUGUGAAUGCUGUGACAUUUAGGAUAGCCCUUAAGGCUGUGGGAAAGAACUCUUAAAAAUAUGAGUUCUAGAAUGUAUAAUUUCUCAAAUAUAUAACAUAUAUGGCUACAAUAUCAAUUGUAUCAGGGAUUUCAUGGACCUAAAAGUACAAAAGCAGCUAUACUGCUAGCUAAUUUGUCAGAAAGAUACUAAGGAAGGAGAUAAAAAAUGUUUAGAGAGUGGUGAUCAUAGGUUAAGAUCCCACCCAGCUAAGUUUAUUGUUUGUGCUUAUGAAGCCUGGCAGAUUCCUGAGUUCAAAGGCAACCUGGAAUGAACUAGUUUAGUCUCAGGCUGGGUGGGAAUGGUGAUCUCAGAGCCAUAUUCCACCAAGAUAGCUUAUUGUCUGUGCUCACAAAGGCAGGCAGAUCUCUUCAAUGCUAUGUUUUCACUGUCUUUUCUAAGAAUCAAGAAGGAAAGUCAUAAAAUGCUGAUUAAUUGGAUAAUCAAAAGGGAACCUGGGGUGAACUAUUAAAGUAAUAUGAAAAAGAAGAGUUGGUUUUGGUCUGCAAGAUCUGAGCUCUGAAGAGAUAUUUGGAGAGCUAUUUUGAGCAGAAAACAUGGCUUCUCAUCUUGUACUUCGAGAUUGACUUUCAGUCAUACUUUGCUGCUUUCAAAUACCCCUUCCUCAGAAACCCUCUCCAAGCUGAGAAAAAUUGUUCUUCGUGUCAAUGGAUGGAAAUACAGUAUCACUUUCCUUGUAGACCAAUAAAUUUUCUAAAACCAAUUUACUACAAAGCAUGAGGCAGGUUUUCCUUCGAAUCGCUCAGAGAAGAAAGAUAUGUUGAUCUAUGUAGAAGUAAUUACUUUCCAAAGACAUCGUAUGGAGAUUUCAAUUAAUGGUAUGAUCUAUCAUCCUUAUUGGGUCAUAAUUUGUAUUAUAUGUAUUUUUUACUUUAACCUCCAAAAUAAACAUGUAAUAAAAUCAGAAAUAAUAAAAAUAACAUCAACCACAAUACAUUUUUUGUAUGAAAUCAUAAUCCCUGUUACAAAUGGAAACUAGAACUUUAACACUAGUGAAGUAGUUCAAUAUGUCUUUGAAACAUGGACAAAUAAUAACAUUAAUUCAGAGCAGAGGAUAUUAGUCAAAAAUCCAAUGGACCUCUACUAAAACUAUUCCCUCAGUUUGACAUAUGAA